rnacentral:rRNA from 1 species
UACGAAGGGUGCAAGCGUUACUCGGAAUUACUGGGCGUAAAGGGCUCGUAGGCGGCCAACUAAGUCAGACGUGAAAUCCCUCGGCUUAACCGGGGAACUGCGUCUGAUACUGGAUGGCUUGAGUGUGGGAGAGGGAUGCGGAAUUCCAGGUGUAGCGGUGAAAUGCGCAGAUAUCGGGAGGAACACCAAUGGCGAAGGCAGCUCGCUGGGACGGUACUGACGCUGAGACGCGAAAGCGUGGGGAGCAAACAGG